CUCCUAUGCCGCCAACGCUAGAUGGCUACCUUUGUUAGUUGCCUUGCUUGUCCCCUUCACUGUUCACCUUGCUUUGUUCCUGGCAGUUGCAUUUGUGUCAUGGGUGAACGAUUGAAGGAGUCAGCAUGGUAUCGAAUUCUCUGGAAAUCACCUGAGCACAAAAGUUUGGUUUUCUGGUCACGUGCAAGCUAUCAUGUAACAGUUUGAAAACAAUUUACUUCAGGUUAGUACGCUGUUUUUUUUUAUUCCUGAGCAAAGAUAAAAAAAAAAAGAGUUGAAAUUUAUGUAACAAAUAACGUUUUGGAAUGUUAUCAAGACUAAAGAUAUGUUGCCUAUUAACAUGUUGCAUGUUAAACAUUCGAAAUGGGACCAGUACAACUAAACGUUGUCAUUUCACUUUGUUUGUGAAAACUGUGUAUUGAGUUGAAUGUAGCUUUUCAUUUUCCGAUAAUAUCUAGUCUUUUUUCGUAAGGAGUGCAGCGUAGGAAGAAAUUGGUUCCGGCUAGUCACCGGCUACGCCAUGUGGGGUGUGAGUCCACCAUUCCAUGGCGACUGAAUUGCUUUUGCUUUCACAGUUGUUUCCACCAUUCAUAGAUGGCGCUAUAGAUGGCGAAGUAAUGUAUAUUUACGUUAUUAAAAAAAGAAAAAAAAAGGAUUUGCACAAAGUUGAACAUCAAAAGGAAGCACAGGAAUCCCUGAAAGAACUCAGUUUUAUCACAAUUUUUAAAAAAACUGACAAUGGAUUUCUUGGUGUUAAACUCUGUAGAAAUUGGAUACAUUUGCAACAAAAGCUAAAACUUUUACAGUUGGCAUAUACUUCAAGCGACGCCUUGAUGAAUGUUUCACUUUUCUUCUAACACGUGCCAGUCUAACUACCUGUGGGGUAGUCGCUCAUUCUGUCUUGCACUUGCGUCAUUUGUAUCAUUCCACGGUUGUGUUUGCAAGUAUCUGAUGUCAUCUUCGUUUACUUGGUUCAAGAUACCUGGCCAUGUUUCUGCUUGAAGCACAAAAAUCGCAAGUUGAUUCAAUAAACACAAUUUGUUCUGGAAUUCAGAGGCCAUUAGGUGUUAAUAUUAUUUUCAUAAAUCUAAACACAUGCAAAGUGAAAACCAAAUGUGUGAAUAGCUUAUUUGCCCAGUGGCAAAUACAAAGCUUUUCUUGUAAGGAGAAAAAUCAGGCGUACAUGUAGAAAUAUUGAUGGACUGCUCAAGAAUGGAUGACUACGGUCUUUGCAGUUCUGUUGAAAUGUGGCAUGUUGCCAACAUUUCCGAUUUCAUAGAUGCUAAGAUUAUAUCACUCUGCAGGCAAAAACAGUUUGUGAUAUGAUGAAAUAGCAGUCACUGUAGAUGUGGAUGUUUUCCAGACUUAAAAUCAUCCGUAAAAGUACGUAAGGUAUUAGUGAUAGGACUGAUUGAGUUUUAAAAUAAUAUCAGUGACAGGACAAACUAGAGUAAGCAGAGAAUGUAUAGACAAAUAACACAUACUUUCGAACUAAAAUUUUCCCCUUUGAUGGGUUUGCCUCUGACGUUCAAUCAGGGCACCUUCCGUUGACUAGUGCACAACAAAUGAGCCUUAUACACCUCAACACCUGCCAUAUUCUGCAUUGUUUCUGCAAACCUCAUUUAUUGGAACUGGCGGGGUGAGCUGAUUUGCAAUUUCAUUGUAUUGUUCAUCAUUCCUAAUUCGCCGUAAGGUCCCAAGUUAUUGGACGUGAUUUUUAAGUUAAAUUGUAUGUUUGGUUAUAUACAUAUCAAUGUGUGUGUGUGUGUGUGUGUGUGUGUGUGUAAGAAAGCAUGAUGCUAAAAAAAACUUGUACUUGUACGCGCUAGAGAAAAAGGGAUUUUUCUCUACAACUGAUGUACAAUAUGUGAAACAUUGGAAAGACAUCCCUCUGAGAAAAAUAAAAAGGUAUUCAGGAUAUUAGGUAUUGGUAUUCGUAAAGGCAAGUGGCCUGGGUCUUUGCUUCGAUGUUCUGAGCCA